ACAACACCCAAUAACUCCUCACAAACCCUAGCCACUCCUUUCUCUCACAAGUUGAAGAACACGAGCUCAAGGUUGAAGAGCCAAGACGGGAACUUUAAAAUGGAAAAUGAAGAUGCCAAUAUUUCUAUAAAUAUUGACAACUAGAUUUGUUAACGUCGCGCGUUGCGGCGAAACGGAGCAAAUGAUAAUGUAAGCAAACGUUAUUUAAAAAUGAAACAUGUUGUUUAGAAAGUCAAACCUUCAUAAUCGAUUAAGUUUAUCAUCGUACCGUUUUAGAUACCAAAUAAAUGCUCUAUUUUAAAUACAACUUCGUGACAUGCUCCAUAAAGCUAGAUACGUCACUAAUCUAGUAUGCCACGUAACACACUCCUAACGGCAUGAUUAUUAUUUCACUAAUUUUCUUGUAAAUAAUAAUAGCCGCAUAUAUAAGUUUUUCUUAUACUUAUAAUUAUAUAAUAUUUUGGACACGUUAAAAAGAUCAACAUGACUACAAAUGUUUGUACUCAAUUUUAUGUUAGGAGAGGAUCGAUGUGGUGGAAUGAAUUUAUGUUAUUGAAAAGAAAACUAAAAGAGAUAGGAUGGAUAUAAUGGGAUGAAUAUAUUUUAUUAGAAGAAGCAAAAGAUA